CAGAAUUGCUGGUUGUGAAAAAAAAACAACUGCUGGCGUUAUAAAAGGGAAGAUUGUUGUGGUACAUGUAACUAUGGUAUCCCCUACAUCCCAACCACCAGCACCAGAAGAACCACGCCUAAGAGAUUAGCCACACCAGUGAAACCACCUGUGCUAUUCACUUCCACUAAAGACUGUGAGCCAGGAGAUCUUGACUUGAGACCAGAUCUUUGUACUAACAUAAGUAUCUGCUAUGAACAGCCGUCACUGUGCUGCCACUAUUGCUCGUUACAUAACAAUUCUGCAACUACAAGUACCACACAAUUAACUUCACCCAAUGAGUGUGUACCAGAUUUAAGUCCAGAGCUGUGUUCUAACACUUAUAUCUGCCAGACACAGUCACUGAUGUGCUGUAACUAUUGCUUGUUGCCUUACAAUACAGGAAUCAUUCUCUCAAUCCACAAUAUUUGGAUCCAUUGUUUUUACUUUACAUUGUAUUUUCUUUAUAUAAAAACAAAUGUCUACUAGAUAGAUCUAGAUCUACUGUACUUUUCCCAUGCACAUUUACUUUUAGCUUG